GACGAACGCUGGCGGCGUGCUAACCCAUUCCAGUCGAACGGAAAGGCCCUGCUUUUGUGGGGUGCUCGAGUGGCGAACGGGUGAGGAACAAGUGAGUAACCUGCCCUUUACUUUGGGCUAACUUCAGGAAACCUGGGCUAAUAACGGAUAGGAGCUCCCGCCGUAUGGUGGGGGUUGGAAAGUUUCGGCGGUUGGGGAUGGACUCGCGGCUUAUCAGCUUGUUGGUGGGGUAGUGGCUUACCAAGGCUUUGACGGGUAGCCGGCCUGAGAGGGUGACCGGCCACAUUGGGACUGAGAUACGGCCCAGACUCCUACGGGAGGCAGCAGUGGGGAAUAUGGCACAAUGGGCGGAAGCCUGAUGCAGCAACGCCGCGUGCGGGAUGACGGCCUUCGGGUUGUAAACCGCUUUCGCCUGUGACGAAGCGUGAGUGACGGUAAUGGGUAAAGAAGCACCGGCUAACUACGUG
rnacentral:rRNA from 1 species